CUUCAAAAGGACAAUUUUGGUACUCACCAACAGCAGACAGUGCACACAAACACAGGGUGGUGAAUGUUUAGCUGGUGUGAAAAGAGGGUGGUGAAGGCUUUAUUGAUGGACCAGGGAAAGGGGUAGGAGAUAAGCCAGGGGGAGACUGAAACCAU